AUAAGUAUUACCUGGGAUCUUCUUAACAUGCGGAUUUUAAUCUAGUGGAUGUGGGAUGGGUCUUAAAAGUCUAUAAUUCUAAUGGAAUUCUAGGUAAUGCUGAU
rnacentral:pre_miRNA from 1 species